rnacentral:rRNA from 1 species
CGAGCGGCGAACGGGUGAGUAACGCGUGGAUUAUCUGCCCUGAGGUGGGGGAUAACCCGGGGAAACUCGGGCUAAUACCGCAUAUGACCGUGAGGUCAAAGGGGGGUCGCAAGAUCUCUCGCCAUAGGAGGAGUCCGCGUACGAUUAGCUAGUUGGUAGGGUAAUGGCCUACCAAGGCGACGAUCGUUAGCCGGCCUGAGAGGGUGAUCGGCCACACUGGAACUGAGACACGGUCCAG